CAUAGAAUCUGACAAGAAUUGAGUUAGAGGCUGAUCCUUCUUCGCUCUCUCAUCUCCUAGUUCAGCUGAUUGAUUUGUUCUUGACUAUCGUGCUGCAAAUUUGGUAAUUGUAUGCCAUUACACGUAAGCCUAACUGAGGUAAAUUGACUCGAGGCCAUAUUUCACCGGUUUCGUCUCUACAUUUGCCAGGCAGCACAUUUACGUGCAAUGAAGGUGGCGCUGUAACUCACGGCUUCCCCAGGGAAACGAAGCAAAAAUUGUCACAUCUGGGAGGAUUUAUGCUGGAAGCUGGAGAAGAAGACAAGGCAGAUCCAACCAACCGAACUUAUACAAGCGACAUGAACGUUCUUAUAUUUCACACCCACAACAAUUCUCACGUGCUAAUCUGACUUGCGACUUCUCGCCCCAAGCGCUGCACUACUAAGCAUGAGAGACACUCUAGUCCCCGGGGUGGAAUGUACAGAAACUGGCCGUUAAA